AGCUGAGCUAAGCUGAGCUGUGCCAGCGGAAUUUCAGUGGUGUAAUAACGAAAUGUACAGAAGAAUCGAGGACGACAACCGAACGAGCAGCGAACAAUGCUGGCGACAACAAGCCUGCUCGAUUCCAGCGAAUGAAAAUAAUUAAAAAGCAAAACAAUAUAUAGAUAUAUAUUAAACGCACACAGCGGCGGGCACAAAAUAAAAUAAUUGAAAAACAAAUGGAAAAAGAGCGAGAGACACACACGAGCGCCAAAGCACUGAAAUAAAAUAUGAAAUGUUGGCAAUUAAUGAACAGCAAAAAAAAAAAACCCAGGGAGCUGUGGAAAAAUGAAACAAACAAAAAAUGAGCUUGCGCCAUGACCGACCGAUACCAGACGCCUCUGACUCCAACUGGGUGACCACUGGGCUUGGCCACGGCCCAGUGACUUCUGCCGGAGUCUUCAGCUCUAGCACACGUGCACUGAACGAAAUUGCUGGCCUAGAACCAAAGAAAUAAUCUUAGAGAGUUAUAUAUUUGUUUAUUGACAAAAAGUUCGGAUUUUAGUUAUACUUUUCGGCAAUACGUGUUCUAUUAAAUGGAUCUAUUUCCUUACCAUUUCAU
ensembl:ncRNA lncRNA:CR44725 long non-coding RNA:CR44725